UACGUAGGGUGCAAGCGUUAAUCGGAAUUACUGGGCGUAAAGCGUGCGCAGGCGGUUGUGCAAGACAGAUGUGAAAUCCCCGGGCUCAACCUGGGAAUUGCAUUUGUGACUGCAUGGCUAGAGUGUGUCAGAGGGGGGUAGAAUUCCACGUGUAGCAGUGAAAUGCGUAGAGAUGUGGAGGAAUACCGAUGGCGAAGGCAGCCCCCCUGGGAUAACACUGACGCUCAUGCACGAAAGCGUGGGGAGCAAACAGG
rnacentral:rRNA from 1 species